rnacentral:rRNA from 1 species
AAUCAAGCGCGAGAAGGGCGUUUGGUGAAUGCCUUGGCAGUAAGAGGCGAUGAAGGACGUGAUACUCUGCGAUAAGUCAUGGGGAGCUGAGAAUAAGCUUUGAUCCAUGAAUUUCCGAAUGGGGCAACCCACUUGAUAGUUUGUUAUUGAGAACUUCGGUUCUCACUAAUGAGCUAAACCAAGUAUUAAUUACCUGAAUACAUAGGGUUUUUAAAGCAAACCCGGGGAACUGAAACAUCUAAGUACCCGGAGGAAAGGAAAUCAACAGAUACUCCCCUAGUAGCGGCGAGCGAACGGGGACCAGCCGAGCUGUGAGUGUGACCAGAACAAUCUGGAAAGAUUGGCCAUAGUGGGUGACAGCCCCGUAUGGGAAACAUGAUCAGACGUAUUAAGUAGGGCGGAACACGUGAAAUUCUGUCUGAACAUCGGGGGACCACCCUCGAAGGCUAAGUACUCCUUACUGACCGAUAGUGAACCAGUACCGUGAGGGAAAGGUGAAAAGCACCCCGACGAGGGGAGUGAAAAAGUACCUGAAACCGAACGCCUACAAGCAGUCGGAGCUUGACUGGAGUCUAAUUUGGAUUGCAUAGUAGCUUAAUGAUCAAGCUACUGAAAACAAUCCCGAUUUUGUGUGUGUUGUCGACACCCGUAUCCGCUGGCGAAUUCGUCUUUGGACUAGGUGUUAGCGACAUUCUUGAUGAUGGCAGCGCUGAAUCGGCGACUGUUAUUGUUGAAUACCAUGCUGCCCCGUUUUACGAACGGGGCAACCUUGAUCUGAACUUUGGCAUAGCCGGUCAGAUCGACGAUGAUAGCGACAUCUUUUUGGGUGCCGGUAUCGCCGUGGUAUAUGAUCUGUCGAAAGGCCUGUUCCUUGAGGGCAGCCUGAUGCCUGGCUACUAUGAUCCAGGCAGUGACGGAACAGAAUUGGGUGGCAAUUUUCAGUUUCGGACGGUCGUCGGCAUUGGGUAUAGACUCAGUGAAGACACUGCCAUUUCGCUUGCGGUAGACCACAAGUCGAAUGCAAGUAUCGAGGAUACAAAUCCUGGUAACGAAACAAUCAUGAUCCGCUAUCGCAAGCGGUUCUAAUCCAAAUUAGUCUCCAGUCGAGUGACGGCGUACCUUUUGUAUAAUGGGUCAUCGACUUGGUCUUACUAGCAAGCUUAAGCCGUUAGGUGUAGGCGCAGCGAAAGCGAGUCUUAAUAGGGCGAAUGAGUUAGUAGGAUCAGACCCGAAACCGAGUGAUCUAGGCAUGACCAGGUUGAAGGUAAGGUAACACUUACUGGAGGACCGAACCCACACCUGUUGAAAAAGGUCGGGAUGAGUUGUGCCUAGGGGUGAAAGGCCAAUCAAACUCGGAGAUAGCUGGUUCUCCGCGAAAUCUAUUUAGGUAGAGCGUCAUCCGAAUACCCUCGGGGGUAGAGCACUGGAUGGGUAAUGGGGCCCUAUAGGCUUACUGAUCCUAACCAAACUCCGAAUACCGAGGAGUACUAGAUGGCAGACACACGGCGGGUGCUAACGUCCGUCGUGGAAAGGGAAACAACCCUGACCUACAGCUAAGGCCCCUAAUUCAUGGCUAAGUGGGAAAGCAGGUGGGACGACCAAAACAACCAGGAGGUUGGCUUAGAAGCAGCCAUCCUUUAAAGAUAGCGUAACAGCUCACUGGUCUAAUUAAGUUGUCCUGCGGCGAAGAUGUAACGGGGCUCAAGCCAUGAGCCGAAGCUUAGGAUGUACGAUUUAUCGUACGUGGUAGCGGAGCGUAGUGUGACAUAAUCUCAUUCCUCUUUUGUAGGUUCGCCUACACUGGAGGUGCGAGGUUUUCUGUGAAGCUGGGGCGAAAGCCAUCCGGUGGAGAGAUCACUAGUGAGAAUGAUGACAUGAGUAGCGACAAACAGAGUGAGAGACUCUGUCGCCGAAAGACCAAGGGUUCCUGCUUAAAGCUAAUCUGAGCAGGGUAAGCCGACCCCUAAGGCGAGGCCGAAAGGCGUAGUCGAUGGGAACCAGGUUAAUAUUCCUGGGCCAGGAGGAUGUGACGGAUCGAGACUGUAGUUCACCCUUAUUGGAUUGGGUGGGCUGCUAAUCGGUUCCUGGAAAUAGCCCUCCAUUGGAUCGUACCCUAAACCGACACAGGUGGUCAGGUAGAGAAUACCAAGGCGCUUGAGAGAACGAUGUUGAAGGAACUCGGCAAAAUACCUCCGUAAGUUCGCGAGAAGGAGGCCCAGUUUCUACGCAAGUAUUGACUGGGGGCACAAACCAGGGGGUGGCGACUGUUUACUAAAAACACAGGGCUCUGCGAAGUCGCAAGACGACGUAUAGGGUCUGACGCCUGCCCGGUGCCUGAAGGUUAAAAGGAGGAGUGCAAGCUCCGAAUUGAAGCCCAGGUAAACGGCGGCCGUAACUAUAACGGUCCUAAGGUAGCGAAAUUCCUUGUCGGGUAAGUUCCGACCUGCACGAAUGGCGUAACGACUUCCCCGCUGUCUCCAACAUCGACUCAGCGAAAUUGAAUUGCCUGUCAAGAUGCAGGCUUCCCGCGGUUAGACGGAAAGACCCCGUGCACCUUUACUACAGCUUCACAUUGGCAUUAGGCCGAGCAUGUGCAGGAUAGGUGGUGGACUUUGAAGCCGAAACGCUAGUUUCGGUGGAGUCACCCUUGAGAUACCACCCCUGCUCUGCUUGAUGUCUAACCGCGGUCCCUUAUCGGGAUCCGGGACCCUGUGUGGCGGGUAGUUUGACUGGGGCGGUCGCCUCCCAAAGAGUAACGGAGGCGCGCGAAGGUUGGCUCAGAUCGGUCGGACAUCGAUCGUUGAGUGCAAUGGCAGAAGCCAGCCUGACUGCGAGACUGACAAGUCGAGCAGAGUCGAAAGACGGCCAUAGUGAUCCGGUGGUCCCGAGUGGAAGGGCCAUCGCUCAACGGAUAAAAGGUACGCCGGGGAUAACAGGCUGAUGGUGCCCAAGAGUCCAUAUCGACGGCACCGUUUGGCACCUCGAUGUCGGCUCAUCUCAUCCUGGGGCUGGAGCAGGUCCCAAGGGUACGGCUGUUCGCCGUUUAAAGAGGUACGUGAGCUGGGUUUAGAACGUCGUGAGACAGUUCGGUCCCUAUCUGCCGUGGGUGUAGGAUACUUGAGAGGAGUUGCCCCUAGUACGAGAGGACCGGGGUGAACGAUCCACUGGUGGACCAGUUGUUAUGCCAAUAGCAGUGCUGGGUAGCUAUGAUCGGAAAGGAUAACCGCUGAAAGCAUCUAAGCGGGAAGCCCCCCUCAAAACAAGGUAUCCCUGAGGACCGUGCGAGACCAGCACGUCGAUAGGCCGGAGAUGUAAGCGCUGCAAAGCGUUCAGUUGACCGGUACUAAUUGUCCGAUAGGCUUGAUUUG